UACGUAGGAGGCGAGCGUUGUCCGGAGUUACUGGGCGUAAAGGGUGCGCAGGCGGCUGUUUACGUUUGCCGUGAAAUCUCCUGGCUUACCUGGGAGGGUGCGGUGAAAACGGGACGGCUUGAGGCUCGGGGAGGGGCGUGGAAUUCCGGGUGGAGCGGUGAAAUGCGCAGAUAUCAGGAGGAACACCAAUGGCGAAGGCAGCUCGCUGGGACGGUACUGACGCUGAGACGCGAAAGCGUGGGGAGCAAACAGG
rnacentral:rRNA from 1 species